GAUGAUUUUAGGUGCUUGCACUAAAUGAAACUAGAUACAAGCGAGCGGCGGACGGGUGAGUAACACGUGGGUAACCUGCCCAAGAGACUGGGAUAACACCUGGAAACAGAUGCUAAUACCGGAUAACAACACUAGACGCAUGUCUAGAGUUUGAAAGAUGGUUCUGCUAUCACUCUUGGAUGGACCUGCGGUGCAUUAGCUAGUUGGUAAGGUAACGGCUUACCAAGGCAAUGAUGCAUAGCCGAGUUGAGAGACUGAUCGGCCACAUUGGGACUGAGACACGGCCCAAACUCCUACGGGAGGCAGCAGUAGGGAAUCUUCCACAAUGGACGAAAGUCUGAUGGAGCAACGCCGCGUGAGUGAAGAAGGGUUUCGGCUCGUAAAGCUCUGUUGGUAGUGAAGAAAGAUAGAGGUAGUAACUGGCCUUUAUUUGACGGUAAUUACUUAGAAAGUCACGGCUAACUACGUGCCAGCAGCCGCGGUAAUACGUAGGUGGCAAGCGUUGUCCGGAUUUAUUGGGCGUAAAGCGAGUGCAGGCGGUUCAAUAAGUCUGAUGUGAAAGCCUUCGGCUCAACCGGAGAAUUGCAUCAGAAACUGUUGAACUUGAGUGCAGAAGAGGAGAGUGGAACUCCAUGUGGUAGC
rnacentral:rRNA from 1 species